UGGGGAAUAUUGCACAAUGGGCGCAAGCCUGAUGCAGCCAUGCCGCGUGUAUGAAGAAGGCCUUCGGGUUGUAAAGUACUUUCAGCGGGGAGGAAGGUGUUGUGGUUAAUAACCACAGCAAUUGACGUUACCCGCAGAAGAAGCACCGGCUAACUCCGUGCCAGCAGCCGCGGUAAUACGGAGGGCGCCAGCGUUAAUCGGAAUUACUGGGCGUAAAGCGCACGCAGGCGGUCUGUCAAGUCGGAUGUGAAAUCCCCGGGCUCAACCUGGGAACUGCAUCCGAAACUGGCAGGCUUGAGUCUUGUAGAGGGGGGUAGAAUUCCAGGUGUAGCGGUGAAAUGCGUAGAGAUCUGGAGGAAUACCGGUGGCGAAGGCGGCCCCCUGGACAAAGACUGACGCUCAGGUGCGAAAGCGUGGGGAGCAAACA
rnacentral:rRNA from 1 species